CCUACGGGCGGCUGCAGUGGGGAAUAUUGGACAAUGGGCGCAAGCCUGAUCCAGCCACGCCGCGUGAGUGAUGAAGGCCUUCGGGUCGUAAAGCUCUGUGGGGAGGGACGAACCGCCACUCGUGCAUAGCGGGUGGCAUGACGGUACCUCCUUAGCAAGCACCGGCUAACUUCGUGCCAGCAGCCGCGGUAAUACGAAGGGUGCAAACGUUGCUCGGAAUCAUUGGGCGUAAAGCGCACGUAGGCGGCUCACCAAGUCGGACGUGAAAUCCCUCAGCUCAACUGAGGACGUGCAUCCGAAACUGGCGAGCUUGAGUAUGGAAGAGGGUCGCGGAAUUCCCGGUGUAGAGGUGAAAUUCGUAGAUAUCGGGAGGAACACCAGUGGCGAAGGCGGCGACCUGGGCCAAUACUGACGCUGAGGUGCGAAAGCGUGGGGAGCAAACAGGAUUAGAUACCCCUGUAGUC
rnacentral:rRNA from 1 species